rnacentral:rRNA from 1 species
GAGUUUGAUCGUGGCUCAGAACGAACGCUGGCGGCGUGCCUAACACAUGCAAGUCGAGCGGGAAAGUUCCCUUCGGGGAGCGAGUACAGCGGCGAACGGGUGAGUAACACGUAGGUAACCUACCCUGGAGACUGGGAUAACCUGCCGAAAGGCGGGCUAAUACCAGAUAAGACCACGAGGGCUGCGGCCCUUGGGGAAAAAGAUGGCCUAUGCUUGCAAGCUAUCACUCCGGGAUGGGCCUGCGCGCCAUUAGCUAGUUGGUGAGGUAACGGCUCACCAAGGCUGAGAUGGCUAGCUGGUCUGAGAGGAUGGCCAGCCACACUGGGACUGAGACACGGCCCAGACUCCUACGGGAGGCAGCAGUGGGGAAUAUUGCGCAAUGGGCGAAAGCCUGACGCAGCGACGCCGCGUGGGUGAUGAAGGCCUUC